rnacentral:lncRNA from 1 species
GCCCUACCGAAAACUGUGGACUGUGGAUGAUAAUGAUAUGUCAAUCCAAAUCUGACAUGCCCAGGGGACGUGGAAGAAGGGGAAGGAACAGAACUGCCACCAGUACUGGGGCCACUGCAAAGGCUGAGGGACCCAAUGUGGAGAGCCAAGGUUGGGAAGGAUGCAGAAUCCUGUGGCUGCGAUGCCUGCGGUGGGCUGGAACAGAAAAAGGCUACUCAGUGAAAUUUGGCAAUGGACACGAACUCACUUUCUCUCUCCUAGCUGUGCUUUUCCUGCAGGGACUGAACAAGGGCAGUGUGUGCACAUGUGGGAGUGCCAGAAGCACCAGUGCAGUCCAGAUGUGCCCAGGCCCAUCUGUGCAUGAAAAUGCAGACACACCCACACUAUUUAUCAAUUAGUGUCUGCUGCUGCCAGUAUCACCAGUUCUCUGCCUGAUGAAUGAUGCUAGGCUGGACACGCCACACCCCAAGGUAUUUCCAUUGUCUGCAGCAAAG